rnacentral:lncRNA from 1 species
UGAGUUUGUGCUGCAACUCAGACAGCUGACCACAUGUUGGGGUCUGUAAUAGGCGGCUCUGUUUGGUCCGUAGUAAUUGACCUGGAGUUUAUCUUUAUCCCGUGUGCUUUCGAUUUGACUUGAAGUUUAUCCUGUGUGCUUUCAAUUUGACUUGAAGUUUAUCCUGUGUGCUUUCAAUAUGACGAUGGUUGGUGUGUUUGCCGCAUAAAGACCAUGUGAGUAGUCAAAAGUGAUCAAUUUGAGUUUGUGAGGUAUUUGCAACUAAGCAGAACUGUUGGCUUAUAAUCUAUUUGUGUUGCUCUUUCUUUGGACAGUGAAGUUACUUUUAGCAGUACUAUUUGUGUUUCAUGGGAUCUCUUUCGUGCUGCUCUUUUUCUUGCACGGUGAAGCUACUUGAAGUUCUGUGAGAU